rnacentral:rRNA from 1 species
AUACGUAGGGGGCGAGCGUUGUCCGGAAUGACUGGGCGUAAAGGGCGUGUAGGCGGCGGAUUAAGUCUGGAGUGAAAGUCCUGCUUUCAAGGUGGGAAUUGCUUUGGAUGCUGGUCGGCUUGAGUGCGGAAGAGGUAAGUGGAAUUCCAAGUGUAGCGGUGCAAUGCGUAGAGAUUGGGAGGAACACCAGUGGCGAAGGCGACUUACUGGGCAGUAACUGAGGCUGAGGCGCGAAAGAGUGGGGAGAGAACAGGAUUAGAUACCCUGGUGGUGCACGCGGUAAACGAGGAGUGCGAGGUGUAGGGGGGAUCGACCCCUCCUGUGCCGGAGUGAACACAAUAAGCGUUCCGCGUGGGGAGUACGGGCGCAAGGUUGAAACUCACAUGAAUUUACGGGG